rnacentral:rRNA from 1 species
GAUGAACGCUGGCGGCGUGCCUAAUACAUGCAAGUCGAGCGAAUGGAUUAAGAGCUUGCUCUUAUGAAGUUAGCGGCGGACGGGUGAGUAACACGUGGGUAACCUGCCCAUAAGACUGGGAUAACUCCGGGAAACCGGGGCUAAUACCGGAUAACAUUUUGAACCGCAUGGUCCGAAAUUGAAAGGCGGCUUCGGCUGUCACUUAUGGAUGGACCCGCGUCGCAUUAGCUAGUUGGUGAGGUAACGGCUCACCAAGGCAACGAUGCGUAGCCGACCUGAGAGGGUGAUCGGACACACUGGGACUGAGGCACGGCCCAGACUCCUACGGGAGGCAGCAGUAGGGAAUCUUCCGCAAUGGACGAAAGUCUGACGGAGCAACGCCGCGUGAGUGAUGAAGGCUUUCGGGUCGUAAAACUCUGUUGUUAGGGAAGAACAAGUGCUAGUUGAAUAAGCUGGCACCUUGACGGUACCUAACCAGAAAGCCACGGCUAACUACGUGCCAGCCGCCGCGGUAA